AAUACUAUACUUUUGGGGAUCAUUUCUAUAGUUUGUUACUAGAGAAGUCUCUCCGAAUGUGUAGUGCACUGGAACUCAAUUCUGAUAUGAG
rnacentral:snoRNA from 1 species